rnacentral:rRNA from 1 species
UACGUAGGGUGCAAGCGUUGUCCGGAAUUAUUGGGCGUAAAGAGCUCGUAGGCGGUUUGUCGCGUCUGCUGUGAAAACUCGGGGCUUAACUCCGGGCCUGCAGUGGGUACGGGCAGACUAGAGUGCGGUAGGGGAGACUGGAAUUCCUGGUGUAGCGGUGAAAUGCGUAGAUAUCGGGAGGAACACCAGUGGCGAAGGCGACUUCCUGGCCUGUUCUUGACGCUGAGGCGCGAAAACUAGGGGAGCAAACGGG